ACAGAUUACGCUCAGAACCGGGAAGAGGUU
rnacentral:sRNA from 1 species